CUGGUCAUUGAUCAAUUUAUUAUUGUUUAGAAUACAGAAAGUAAUAAAGUUCAUCCAGAUUGUCAAAGAAAAACAGACUUUAGUUCUGAACAGAACACUGAGGAAUUCAUUCCGCUGGUCAGUUAUAUAGAGUUCUGUACAGUUUAGUCUUUGGCACAUUUUCAUACAGUUUAAUAAAAAGACAUUUUCUCAGCAGGACCUGAAGUCUUUGUCUCUGACCACCGUUCAUGAAUAGAGAAAUAUCAAAAUAAAAGGAAAUUAUUUUUUUUUUAAAGUGUCAUAUGAAAGUAUGUUGUGAAAAAUAAAAUGUCAGAAUAUCAUGUUUUCAGGACAAAAAAUAUAAAAGAUCAGGAUGCUGUAAAGAUUUUACUACAGACGUCAUGUUACAGUUUAUUAUAUCAUCUGACUGGAAGCUGACAGGAUAGUUUGUUGUAAAAUAAUGUCAUAGUUUAAUGUUUUGUUAAAACCUUGAAUCUAAAACAUGUUUCUGAGUGACAGAGACAUGUAGAGACUGAACCAUCUGUUCAACAGGGAAACUGUUUCUCUACCAGGAGGAGACUCUGGAUACUGAACUCAACACAGAAACACUGAGGAACCAGACGACCAGAAC